rnacentral:lncRNA from 1 species
CCCUAGCUAUGUUGAUCAACAAAAUUUAAUUUCGACGGUCAUGAAUGAUCGUAUGAUAAUCUAAUAGAUAGAAACCACUGAAGGAUCUAAAAAUUUACAAAGAUGAUCUUGAUAAUAUUUGUAGCAUACUAUCAAAAUUGUAGUUCAAUCAGACAUCAUUAUUAUAGUCAAUUUAGCAUAAAAUAAUUUAAACCGUUAAAUAAAAAAUGAGUGAUC